AACGAACGCUGGCGGCAGGCCUAACACAUGCAAGUCGAGCGCGUCCUUCGGGACGAGCGGCGCACGGGUGAGUAACGCGUGGGAACGUACCCCUGGGUGCGGAAUAACGUCGGGAAACUGACGCUAAUACCGCAUAAUGACUCCGGUCCAAAGAUUUAUCGCCCAGGGAUCGGCCCGCGUUAGAUUAGCUUGUUGGUGAGGUAAUGGCUCACCAAGGCUACGAUCUAUAGCUGGUCUGAGAGGAUGAUCAGCCACACUGGGACUGAGACACGGCCCAGACUCCUACGGGAGGCAGCAGUGAGGAAUAUUGGACAAUGGGCGCAAGCCUGAUCCAGCCAUGCCGCGUGAGUGAUGAAGGCCUCGGUUGUAAAGACUCUUUCUAAUAGGUGAAGAUAAUGACGGUAGCCAUAGAAGAAGACCCGGCGUAAAUUACGUGCCAGCAGCCGCGGU
rnacentral:rRNA from 1 species